CAGCCGCCGCGGUAAUACGUAGGGUGCGAGCGUUAAUCGGAUUUACUGGGCGUAAAGCGUGCGCAGGCGGCCCGUUAAGACAGGUGUGAAAUCCCUGGGCUUAACCUAGGAAUUGCGCUUGUGACUGGCGGGCUCGAGUACGGUAGAGGGGGGUGGAAUUCCUGGUGUAGCAGUGAAAUGCGUAGAGAUCAGGAGGAACACCGAUGGCGAAGGCAGCCCCCUGGGCCUGUACUGACGCUCAUGCACGAAAGCGUGGGGAGCAAACAGGAUUAGAUACCCUGGUAGUCCACGCCCUAAACGAUGGGUACUAGCCGUUUGGUGCGCGAGAGCGCUGAGUGGCGAAGCUAACGCGUGAAGUACCCCGCCUGGGGAGUACGGCCGCAAGGUUGAAACUUAAAGGAAUUGGCGGG
rnacentral:rRNA from 1 species